rnacentral:rRNA from 1 species
CAAUAGCGUAUAUUAAAGUUGUUGCGGUUAAAGCUCGUAGUUGGAUUUCUGCCGAGGACGACCGGUCCGCCCUCUGGGUGAGCAUCUGGCUCGGCCUGGGCAUCUUCUUGGAGAACGUAUCUGCACUUGACUGUGUGGUGCGGUAUUCAGGACUUUUACUUUUGAGGAAAUUUAGAGUGUUUCAAGCAGGUCAUACGCCUUGAAUACAUUAGCAUGGAAUAAUGGAAUAGGACUUUGGUCUUAUUUGUUGGUUUAUGGGACCGAAGUAAUGAUUAACAGGGACAGUUGGGGCCGUUUAUAUUUCGUUGUCAGAGGUGAAAUUCUUGGAUUUACGAAAGAUAAACUUCUGCGAAAGCAUUCGGCAAGGAUGUUUUCAUUGAUCAAGAACGAAAAGUUAGGGGAGUCGAAGAUGAUCAGAU